CCUACGGGGGACAGCAGUGAGGAAUAUUGGUCAAUGGCCGGAAGGCUGAACCAGCCAUGCCGCGUGAAGGGCAGAGACCUAGGGGCGUUAAACUUCUUUUGUGCGGGAGCAAGAAUGGUCACGUGUGGCCAGACGAGAGUACCGUACGAAGAAGCAUCGGCUAACUCCGUGCCAGCAGCCGCGGUAAUACGGGGGAUGCAAGCGUUAUCCGGAUUUAUUGGGGUUAAAGGGUGCGUAGGGGGCUUGUUAAGUCAGUUGUGAAAGUUUGCGGCUCAACCGUAAAAUUGCAGUUGAAACUGGCAGUCUUGCGUACAGUAGCGGUGGGCGGCAUUCGUGGUGUCGCGGUGAAAUGCUUCGAUAUCACGAAGAACUCCGAUUGCGAAGGCAGCUCACUGGACUGCAACUGACACUGAUGCUCGAAAGUGUGGGUAUCAAACAGGAUUAGAUACCCGAGUAGUC
rnacentral:rRNA from 1 species